rnacentral:rRNA from 1 species
UAGGGAAUCUUCCACAAUGGACGCAAGUCUGAUGGAGCAACGCCGCGUGAGUGAAGAAGGUUUUCGGACCGUAAAGCUCUGUUGUUGGUGAAGAAGGAUAGAGGUAGUAACUGGCCUUUAUUUGACGGUAAUCAACCAGAAAGUCACGGCUAACUACGUGCCAGCAGCCGCGGUAAUACGUAGGUGGCAAGCGUUGUCCGGAUUUAUUGGGCGUAAAGCGAGCGCAGGCGGAAGAAUAAGUCUGAUGUGAAAGCCCUCGGCUUAACCGAGGAAUUGCAUCGGAAACUGUUUUCUUGAGUGCAGAAGAGGAGAGUAGAACUCCAUGUGUAGCGGUGGAAUGCGUAGAUAUAUGGAAGAAUACCAGUGGCGAAGGCGGCUCUCUGGUCUGCAACUGACGCUGAGGCUCGAAAGCAUGGGUAGCGAACAGGAUUAGAUACCCUGGUAGUCCAUGCCGUAAACGAUGAGUGCUAAGUGUUGGGAGGCUUCCGCCUCUCAGUGCUGCAGCUAACGCAUUAAGCACUCCGCCU